rnacentral:rRNA from 1 species
GACAGAGGUGCCAAGCGUUAGGCGGAAUCACUGGGCUUAAAGCGUGUGUAGGCGGAUCGUUAAGUACCUUGUGAAAUCCCACGGCUCAACCGUGGAACUGCUGGGUAUACUGGCGGUCUUGAGCCACCUAGGGGCAACUGGAACAAGCGGUGGAGCGGUGAAAUGCGUAGAUAUCGCUUGGAACGCCAACGGUGAAAACAGGUUGCUGGGGGUGUGCUGACGCUGAGACGCGAAAGCGUGGGGAGCGAACAGG